GAUGAACGCUGGCGGCGUGCCUAAUACAUGCAAGUCGAGCGAACGGACGAGAAGCUUGCUUCUCUGAUGUUAGCGGCGGACGGGUGAGUAACACGUGGAUAACCUACCUAUAAGACUGGGAUAACUUCGGGAAACCGGAGCUAAUACCGGAUAAUAUUUUGAACCGCAUGGUUCAAAAGUGAAAGACGGUCUUGCUGUCACUUAUAGAUGGAUCCGCGCUGCAUUAGCUAGUUGGUAAGGUAACGGCUUACCAAGGCAACGAUGCAUAGCCGACCUGAGAGGGUGAUCGGCCACACUGGAACUGAGACACGGUCCAGACUCCUACGGGAGGCAGCAGUAGGGAAUCUUCCGCAAUGGGCGAAAGCCUGACGGAGCAACGCCGCGUGAGUGAUGAAGGUCUUCGGAUCGUAAAACUCUGUUAUUAGGGAAGAACAUAUGUGUAAGUAAAUGUGCACAUCGUGACGGUACCUAAUCAGAAAGCCACGGCUAACUACGU
rnacentral:rRNA from 1 species